rnacentral:rRNA from 1 species
UGGGGAAUCUUGGACAAUGGGGGCAACCCUGAUCCAGCGAUGCCGCGUGAGUGAAGAAGGCCCUCGGGUCGUAAAGCUCUUUAGGCUGGGAAGAAGGAUGGUGUAGGAAAUGACAUCAUUUUGACUGUACCAGCAGAAUAAGCACCGGCAAACUCUGUGCCAGCAGCCGCGGUAAUACAGAGGGUGCAAGCGUUGAUCGGAGUUACUGGGCGUAAAGGGCGCGUAGGCGGUUAUAUGAGUGUGCUGUGAAAGCCCCGGGCUUAACCUGGGAAGUGCAGUGCAAACGAUAUAACUGGAGUAGAUGAGAGGGUGGUGGAAUUUCCGGUGUAGCGGUGAAAUGCGUAGAGAUCGGAAGGAACGUCAAUGGCGAAGGCAGCCACCUGGCAUCAUACUGACGCUG